rnacentral:lncRNA from 1 species
ACAAACAGACGCCGCCCAGCACCCCUUUCCCCUUCUCCCCUUCUCCGGCAGCGGUAGGUGUCGCCGGCCACGCAGUCUCACCGCCCUGACCCCUCAUCCCUCGUCCUCUCUUCCGUCUCCCUCAAACUACCACACAACAGCAUACACACACGAACAGAAACACCACCACCUCCUCCUCUCAAAAUUCCCGGCGACAGCCACCACCAUGGCCGCCGCGUGAACUCCCUCCCUCUUCACUCAAAUCGGCCGACAGCAGCAGAAAAAGCGGACUGCCGCCGCGCUCUCCACCUCCCUCGUCUCUCUUUCAACCCUCCCCUGUUCACAUAUCCGGCGGCCACAGCAGCAGGAGCUAACCACCGCCGCCCUUCUCACCCUCUCUCUCUCUCUGCGCACUCCGGUCAACAGUGGCGCGGAGCCACCGCCGGCCGCCGCCUGCCCUCCCCUGAUUUCGACUCUCACAGCAAGCAAACACACACUCACACAACACCAUAAGCUUCUUCACCCAUUUUAUUUCCAAUUCAAUUGAGAAGACAUUUUGUAAUUGCUUUUACACACAUAUGUAUUGUAGAUGUACAAAGAUACAUCUAUAUAUAUAUAUAUAUAUA